rnacentral:rRNA from 1 species
ACUGGUACGAGUUGAUCAUGGCUCGAGGACGAACGCUGGGCGGCGUGCCUAACACAUGCAAGUCGAACGGAGUUGCCCUUCGGGGCAACUUAGUGGCGAACGGGUGAGUAACGCGUGAGAAACCUGCCUUUCACAGGGGGAUAACGUUUGGAAACGAACGCUAAUACCGCAUAACAUAUCGUUGUCGCAUGGCAGUGAUAUCAAAGAUUUUAUCGGUGAGAGAUGGACUCGCGUCCGAUUAGGUAGUUGGUGAGGUAAACGGCCCACCAAGCCGACGAUCGGUAGCCGGACUGAGAGGGUGAUCGGCCACAUUGGAACUGAGACACGGUCCAGACUCCUACGGGAGGCAGCAGUGGGGAAUAUUGGGCAAUGGGGGAAACCCUGACCCAGCAACGCCGCGUGAAGGAAGAAGGCCUUCGGGUUGUAAACUUCUUUUACCAGGGACGAAGGACGUGACGGUACCUGGAGAAAAAGCAACGGCUAACUACGUG